CUGGCAGCCAUCCCCUCCGUGGUUUGCCCGUGGCCACCCAUGACUACUACCGGCGCCUCCAGGGUUCCACUCGCAGCAGCAGCACCUGAUGAUGGGCCUUGCUGAGUACCCUAGAGAAGCCAUCCCCCACCCCCUGGUCUCUGGAAGGCUGAUCCAGCAGGUCACUGGUGGGUGAGCUGCUUUUUCGGGAAGUCCACUGUCCUGUUCAUGCCAUGGUGUUGGAGUCCCCAGAGCACUUGGAUUCCCCUCAGGCCUCCAGCAUGACCACCUCUGGCCUGGUUCAGAGAGUCACCAGGAAGCAGCCUGGC
rnacentral:lncRNA from 1 species